AGGAGCUGCCGAAGGCGGGACCGAUGACUGGGGUGAAGUCGUAACAAGGUAGCCGUAUCGGAAGGUGCGGCUGGAUCACCUCCUUUCUAAGGAA
rnacentral:rRNA from 1 species